GGGGUUGUGGCUCAGUGGUAGGGUGCUUGCCUAGCAUGCACGAGGCACUGGGUUUGAUUCUCAGCAACACAU
rnacentral:tRNA from 1 species